CCUACGGGAGGCUGCAGUGAGGAAUAUUGGUCAAUGGCCGGAAGGCUGAACCAGCCAUGCCGCGUGAAGGUCAGUGCCCUAUGGGCGUUAAACUUCUUUUGUGCGGGAGCAAUAAUGGUCACGUGUGGCCAGACGAGAGUACCGUACGAAUAAGCAUCGGCUAACUCCGUGCAAGCAGCGGCGGUAAUACGGGGGAUGCAAGCGUUAUCCGGAUUGAUUGGGGUUAAAGGGUGCGUAGGCUGUGAGGUAAGUCAGCGGUGAAAUGCCACCGCGCAACGGGGUGAAGUGCCAUUGAUACUGCCUUGCUGGACUGCGGAUGCCGUGGGAGGAAUGUGUGGUGUAGCGGUGAAAUGCAUAGAUAUCACACAGAACACCGAUUGCGAAGGCAUCUCACGAAUCCGCGAUUGACGCUGAUGCACGAAAGCGUGGGUAUCAAACAGGAUUAGAUACCCCAGUAGUC
rnacentral:rRNA from 1 species